rnacentral:misc_RNA from 1 species
AGUUGGAGAUGGAUUUUCAGGCACAAUCCAAAUGCAGGGAAGAAAGAUGAAGACCUUGUGGCCAAGCCCAUGUAGCUUAGACCUGUCUUAUUCUGUGCUUUUUUAUUUUGGUCUUUCCAUGCGUAUUAAUUUGGUCAUUUCCGCUCUGCUUUUCUGUAGUUAUUUUGAUCAAGUUAAAAACAAAAACAAAAGUGACCAACAGGCAUGAGUUGUUUACAUGAUUUUCACUUCAAGAUUAAGGGAACAAUAAGGCAAGAAAUUAGGGGUUGGCACUAUUCAGUCACAAUUU